ensembl:lncRNA
AUUUUGUUUUCUUGAAAUACUUAUUUAGGAUAAGAAAAAAAAACCCUGAUUACUCAUUCCUUGACGUUUUAACUAAUAUUUAUCGUGUCACUAAGGCAGUAGAUAUAACCUAAUAAUAUCCUAGUAAACUGCCCGUCUUUAUGUGAUUGCUAAAGCACCUGCCUUUAAAAUAAGUGUAUAUGGGCGUCAUUCAUGACUACUGUACUUGGUACGCGACGCCGCAGACUAGAAAACAAUUAGAAAACGCGACCCGACGUUUUAGAACGCGCCCAACUUGACGUCAGCAUCCAGUCGACCAAUCAAACGCUUGCGGCGUCGCUCUCGCGUGCAGACAGUGUUGUUAAAAAGGAAACGAUGUAGCGUCAGACGGACAUGAAAGCUAUUACAAACAGCAACAGAAGCGCUGCAGAGGCAACAGGACGAGCAAAAUGAGGCGUGGCACGGUGAGAUCUGAAAAGAAUGAUUGUAAAAGGAGGCGGGGCCAGAAAUGAUGUCAGUCGUGUUAUGUUGAUGUACAUACUCGCGCUCUCAGCACAUGCGAAGCCGCUGCUCCAGGUGAACGUGCUCCAGUGCUGAGGACAACGCAAGCAACGUAAAGCGCUCUGCCCGAGGUUUGGGAUCAGGAUGGACGUGGAGGAGACCGGAGCAGGUCAGGUGGAGACAGCGGCCCCAGAGGAGGAGGCACCAGCUCCCAAACGUGGGAGAGGACGACCCCGCAAACCACAACAGGAGCCUGUUGAAGCUUCUGCUCCCAGGAGGCCGAGAGGAAGGCCAAGAGGCAGUAAAAAUAAAGGCCAGCGGGUCACAGCCAAAGUAGAGCCACCUAGAGAACGGAGACCACGAGGUAGACCAAGAAAAUGGCCUCAGAAGACCAUUCAUCAAGAAGAACAGCAGCCUCAUCCUGCGGUUCAAGGGGCGCAGUCAACAGAGGAGCCGCCCAUUCAGACUCCGCCUGCUGCGUUACCAUCGCAGGAGAGCGACUAAAACUACCUCAGUGAUGACUUUGUUACUACGUUGGGGGUAAUUCUCCAUCUCAGCUGCCUCCAUGUACACUGUAAAAAGUGAAAAUGUGCCAGUGCUCAGAUCACGCCCCAAACUUUCAGGAAAGAUCAGACUACAUUUUUUCAAAAGUGACCCUAAAAUCUGUGUACUACCAACACAAGCCUUUAUGAUGAACACCUUUCUGCAAGUUAGACUGAACUGGAAGUAAUAUCUUCUCUUUUUGUUCAUUAUUUGGAUUCUUAAAGGAAUAGUUCACUCGAAAAUGGAAAAUUGCUGAAAAUGCAUUUACUCUCAGGCCAUCCAAGAUGUAGAUUCUUUAUCAGAACAGAUUUGGAGAAAUGUAGAAUUCCAUCACUUGCUCACCAGUGGAUCCUCUGCAGUGAAUGGGUGCCGUCAGAAUGAGAGUCCAAACAGCUGAUAAAAACAUUGCAAGUAAUCCAUACGACUCCCAUCAAUUAACAUCCUGUGAAGUAAAAAAUCUGUGUUUGUAAGAAACAAAUCCAUCAUUAAGAUGUUUUUAACUUCAGAUGUUGCUUCUGGCUCAAAUACAAGUCAGUAGUCCAUAACAAAGCCUGAGGGUGAGCACAUUUUCAGCAAAUUUUCACUUUCGGGUGAACUAUUCCUGCAGUCAACUAGAAAUCAAAUUUGAACUUAAAACAUAUUUUAUUGUGCGCAGUUUGGCAUCCAGAAACUGAAGUAUGCCUUAUUCUUAUAAAAACAGGACUCCAAAAUAACAAGAAAAAAACAUUUCUAUAAUGUUCAAGAUCUUGGGAUUAAAAAGGAAUUUAAAACUCCAAAGAUAAUAAAAUGUAGAAGCUGUAAUCA